rnacentral:rRNA from 1 species
AUGGGCUCGUUUGCUGGAGAUGGCCCAACCUCCCCUAUUGUCCACGGGACAAAUAGGAGGAUCCAGAGCCUUCCAGACUCGAGGGGACUCGGCAGAGACGACGGAGAGGCAGGACGUGAGGCGAGUCCACCUCUACGCCCCCCCGCCGCCGCCGACGCCGACGACGACGACUCCACGCGCCGGCCCCCCUCCACGCGCCUCCGCCUCCAGGAGCACGUGUGGUCUCCUUCAAUGGAGAUGGCUGGUUGCAGCUUGAGUAAAGUACAAAUGGAGGUGGAUGACAAAAGCCCCAAAGAACAUGAUACUAUCAAAAUCUUCCUCGAGGAAGAAAUGGAGACUGAGGUGGAAGCUUUUUCUGGUUUUAUCAUUGGUUCGUAUCUCCGUGGGAAGAUGACAGUGAGCUUUCCGCCCAAUUCUGACCGUUUUGUACAAUUUGAGCUGGGGAAGCUGUUUGACCUUAAACUCGAAUCGCAUCCUUUCAUUGAUAAAGAUCUCUUGAGGAACAUGUGGUAUGUGAAGCCUAAAUCCCCGGAGCGACCCUUUCGCACUGGACCUGAUGAGAUUCUGACAUGGAAUCAGUCUGUAUUUAUUGCGCCCCCCCUCCCAUGUUAA